UAGAGCCCGUAAAGGUGAUUUCUUUUGGUAAAUUUUUAACAAUAAAAAAGGCGAAGCUACGGCUCCCGAAGAGAAGACGACGGAGGAGCCUGCCGACGUAGGAAGAUUUGACGGUGGAGAUCGAGGAAAUAAACCAUGACCUCGAGAAAGAAGCGAGGGGCGAAGGAGAAAGCUAAAGCCGCAUCUUUCGCUGCUUCGUUAGCAGCUGAGAGGAUCACAGAUAAAAAAACUUUACAAAAGAGUGAGGCAGAGACAUUAAGGAAAUAGGUUGCUGAGAUAAAAUCCCCACAAAACAUAAUAAGAGUUUGGUUAGGUACUCCCGACAUGGCGGAAGCCGUGUAUGUUUACUAUUACGCCGCCUACGCUUAUAAUUGCACCGCCUGUAAGUUCCAUGGAGUAUAGACUCAUCUCAAUUUCUCAAAUCUCAAGGGAUAGUUACUGGAAUUCUCCUGAUCCAUAUAUUCAAUGAUUGACUUGUGUUUCUCCUAUAAAUAUCUGUUUUUAAUCUUGAUAAAUGAGGAUGUUUAUAAUCAUACUUAUAUGUAUGCAAAUCUGAAUAGCAAUGUCGACAAGUACAUAUAAAUGCUUAAUCAUUCUUAUA